rnacentral:rRNA from 1 species
UACGUAGGGGGCUAGCAUUGUCCGGAAUCAUUGGGCGUAAAGCGCGCGUAGGCGGCCAGAUAAGUCCGGUGUGAAAGUCACAGGCUCAACCUGUGAAUGCCGCUGGAAACUGUCUGGCUAGAGUCCGGAAGGGGCGAGUGGAAUUCCUGGUGUAGCGGUGAAAUGCGCAGAUAUCAGGAGGAACACCAAUGGCGAAGGCAGCUCGCUGGAACGGUACUGACGCUGAGGCGCGAAAGCGUGGGGAGCGAACAGG